AUUUUAGUGUUUUUUUUUUUUUGGAUAAUUUCGUACGGGUCCCUGACAAAUAUAUUUCUACAAAGUUCAGCUUUAUAUUUUCAAAUAUAUCAUUGCCGUUAGAAUCUGUUAGAAAAUUUUAAUUAACCAUAUAUUUGAAGGGAUAUAUUUGUGAUGACAAAAUUGAUUAUAUAAGCAGUUCUCUAACAGUAAUAAACCGGAGAGAUAUUUUUAAAAAUAACAGGACUUUUGUAGGAACAAUAUAUAAAAGUUGAACUUUAUAGAAAUAUAUUUAUCAUUUACUAUAUUUGCAGAGAUUUGUAUGAAAUUAGCCUUUUUUUUUAUUUACAUUGUAGUGCGUGGGUCCCACAAUUAAUAUGACGUUUGAAUUAAUUUCUUACCGUCCAAUGCUUAGAAUUUUU
rnacentral:lncRNA from 1 species